rnacentral:rRNA from 1 species
CAGUCGCCGCGGUAAUACGUAGGGUGCGAGCGUUAAUCGGAAUUACUGGGCGUAAAGCGUGCGCAGGCGGUUCGUUAAGACAGAUGUGAAAUCCCCGGGCUUAACCUGGGAACUGCAUUUGUGACUGGCGAGCUAGAGUAUGGCAGAGGGGGGUAGAAUUCCACGUGUAGCAGUGAAAUGCGUAGAGGUGUGGAGGAAUACCGAUGGCGAAGGCAGCCCCCUGGGCCAAUACUGACGCUCAUGCACGAAAGCGUGGGGAGCAAACAGGAUUAGAUACCCCAGUAGUCCCUGUCUCUUAUAC